UACAGAGGUCCCAAGCGUUGUUCGGAUUCACUGGGCGUAAAGGGUGCGUAGGUGGUCGGGUAAGUCUGAUGUGAAAUCUUCGGGUCUAACCCGGAAACUGCAUCGGAUACUAUUCGGCUGGAGGGUUGGAGGGGGGACUGGAAUACUUGGUGUAGCAGUGAAAUGCGUAGAUAUCAAGUGGAACACCAGUGGCGAAGGCGAGUCCCUGGACAACUCCUGACACUGAGGCACGAAAGCUAGGGGAGCAAACAGG
rnacentral:rRNA from 1 species